rnacentral:rRNA from 1 species
AUUGAACGCUGGCGGAAUGCUUUACACAUGCAAGUCGAACGGCAGCACGGACUUCGGUCUGGUGGCGAGUGGCGAACGGGUGGGUAAUGUAUCGGAACGUAUCCAAUAAUGGGGGAUAACUAAUCGAAAGGUUGGCUAAUACCGCAUACGCCCUACGGGGGAAAGCUAGGGACCUUCGGGCCUGGCGUUAAUGGAGCGGCCGAUAUCUGAUUAGCUAGUUGGUGGGGUAAAGGCCCACCAAGGCGACGAUCAGUAGCUGGUCUGAGAGGACGACACGCCACACUGGAACUGAGACACGGUCCAGACUCCUACGGGAGGCAGCAGUGGGGAAUUUUGGACAAUGGGCGCAAGCCUGAUCCAGCCAUUCCGCGUGAGUGAAGAAGGCCUUCGGGUUGUAAAGCUCUUUCGCAAGGGAAGAAAACUUAGCCUCUAACAUAGGCUGAGGUUGACGGUACCUAGAUAAGAAGCACCGGCUAACUACGUGCCAGCCGCCGCAGUAA